rnacentral:rRNA from 1 species
UACAGAGGUCCCGAGCGUUGUUCGGAUUUACUGGGCGUAAAGGGUGCGUAGGCGGUCGAGUAAGUCUAAUGUGAAAGCCCCGGGCCCAACCCGGGAAGGGCAUUGGAAACUACUGGACUGGAGGGUUGGAGGGGGGACUGGAAUUCCCGGUGUAGCAGUGAAAUGCGUAGAUAUCGGGAGGAACGCCAGUGGCGAAGGCGAGUCCCUGGACAACCCCUGACGCUGAGGCACGAAAGCUAGGGGAG